UUGGGGGCUUCUCCUCUUGUCUCCCACUGGUGCUCUGGCCGUGAAUCCAUCCAGGCGCCAGGAGAUGACAAUCCGGUACCAAGGCCGGCAGUACAGGCUGAGGAUGGCAUUUCUCCAAAAGGUUUCCAAGCUGCGUCCUGGGCCUGGAGACUGAGACAGAGAUCCACGGACUGCAGUGCAGGCAGCCCACCCCAGAUCCGAGUCAUAUAAGGUUGAAAUAUCAGUAAAAAACAUGCAGACCCAAAGAUGGGGACCAAAAUCCAAAGCCAGAGGGUCCUGGAAAUCAGAGGGUCUUACAACAUAACAGGCAGUACAGGCCAUGGCUCAGGCUAGGCGUGGAACAGACUGCAGUUCUCUUCUACAAAUCAAUCUAGACUGGACAGACAGAACUCCAAGGGAGGAAAGAAAAAUGAAUCUGAUGUUACUUCUUGAAACCACAUUUUCUGAAG
rnacentral:lncRNA from 1 species